GAUGAACGCUGACAGAAUGCUUAACACAUGCAAGUCAACUGUGGCGGACGGGUGAGUAACGCGUAAAGAACUUGCCUCACAGUUAGGGACAACAUUUGGAAACGAAUGCUACUACCCGAUACUGUGAGAGAGCUUUGCGUUCUAUUAGCUAGUUGGAGAGGCAACGGCUCACCAAGGCGAUGAUGGGUAGCCGGCCUGAGAGGGUGAUCGGCCACAAGGGAAAUGGGACACGGGCCUUACGCCUACGGGAGGGAGCGGUAGUGAAUAAUGGACAAUGUGCCAAAGUCUGAUCCAGGAAUUCUGGGUGCACGGUGAGUUUUUCGGAAUGAAAAGUGCUUUCAUUUGGGAAGCGGUACCAACAGAAGAAGUGACGGCUAAAUACGUGCCAGCCGCCGCGGUAAUAC
rnacentral:rRNA from 1 species